AAAAUUGAAGUUUAAUGAACGUCUUACUUACGAUAAGAAGGUCCGCAAGGCAAUUUUA
rnacentral:tRNA from 1 species